UACGGAGGGUGCAAGCGUUGUUCGGAAUCACUGGGCGUAAAGGGCGUGUAGGCGGCCCGCUAAGUCUGAUGUGAAAUCCCACGGCUCAACCGUGGAACUGUAUUUGAAACUGUUCGGCUCGAGUCCGGGAGAGGGUAGUGGAAUUCCCAGUGUAGCGGUGAAAUGCGUAGAUAUUGGGAGGAACACCGGUGGCGAAGGCGGCUACCUGGACCGGUACUGACGCUGAGGCGCGAAAGCUAGGGUAGCAAACAGG
rnacentral:rRNA from 1 species